rnacentral:rRNA from 1 species
GCAGCAGUGGGGAAUAUUGCACAAUGGGGGAAACCCUGAUGCAGCCAUGCCGCGUGUGUGAAGAAGGCCUUCGGGUUGUAAAGCACUUUCAGUAGGGAGGAAGGUAGUGUAGUUAACACCUGCACUAUUUGACGUUACCUACAGAAGAAGCACCGGCUAACUCCGUGCCAGCAGCCGCGGUAAUACGGAGGGUGCGAGCGUUAAUCGGAAUUACUGGGCGUAAAGCGCAUGCAGGCGGCCUGUUAAGUCAGAUGUGAAAGCCCGGGGCUUAACCUCGGAAUUGCAUUUGAAACUGGCAGGCUAGAGUCUUGUAGAGGGGGUAGAAUUUCAGGUGUAGCGGUGAAAUGCGUAGAGAUCUGAAGGAAUACCAGUGGCGAAGGCGGCCCCCUGGACAAAGACUGACGCUCAGAUGCGAAAGCGUGGGGAGCAAACAGGAUUAGAUACCCUGGUAG